rnacentral:misc_RNA from 1 species
UCCGAGUUGACCCCGGCAGUCUCCUGCGAGUCCCCGCCAUUACGCGCUGGCAACACAGGACAAGGGUUGCGCUCGUUGCGGGACUUAACCCAACAUCUCACGACACGAGCUGACGACGGCCAUGCAGCACCUGUCUUACAGUUCCCGAAGGCACCAAUCCAUCUCUGGAAAGUUCUGUAGAUGUCAAGGCCAGGUAAGGUUCCUCGCGUAUCAUCGAAUUAAACCACAUGCUCCACCGCUUGUGCGGGCCCCCGUCAAUUCCUUUGAGUUUCACCCUUGCGGGCGUACUCCCCAGGUGGAUGACGUUUAGGAGCUCGAC